AUAUUAAGUUUGUUAUUUUGAUAAGAAAAGGAAAAUUAAUUAAACCAAAGAACAAAGUUUGUUAACAACAGUGGGUGUUAACUCCCAAAACGAGGGGGACCCAGAAAAUUUGGCGACAUCAGCCCACUCAACCAAUGCAUGAGUAGCCAGGUUGUUACCUCUGGGGAUCCAAUUGGCAGUACAAUGAAACUCACUCGAACCACAAAAUAACAUAUCACACAAGCCAGCAAGACGCAAAGCGCGCCACCUCCGAAGAGAAGCCGCAUUACACACCUCCUGGCAGUCUGUGACGAAUGCCCUGAUCUCUACCACCAACGCCAAAUCUGCCUUGAAAUAAACAUUCCUAAUUCCAAGAACUACUCCCAACCCCGAGUAAGCCACUACCCCAGCAGCCCUUUCUCCGAGUUUGUAAUACCCAUCACAAGCAAUGCAAAUAGGAUGACCAACCUGAGAGAAAGUCCCAAGGGUAUCCAUAGGGGUUGGCUCGUCAAACUUAGCACCAACAUCAUGCUUCAGCUCCGCAGUCCUCUUGUCAAUAUCAUGCACCAGCAAGGAAGGAGUGGCCACUCUUCCCUCAUGGAUUCUCUUAUUUCUGGCCCACCAAAGGGCUCACAGAUGGCUGCGACAAAAACAGUGAACUCCAAUUUGCUGCAACUAUCCAAAGAGAGGAGAAAAUCCACAUUAAAGAGCCAGUGAACUCGUUCAAAACCAGAAUUAAAAUGGAGCUCAUCAACUCUCACUCCCCACUUACUAGAAAACAAGAUAGAAUAAGCCAGUGGGAAAUAGAAGAAAGUAUGCAGAGCAUCAUCAAUAGCAUCAAGGCAAUGACUACAGAGGAUAGGCCUUCUAGUACUAGUACCCAGUUUAUGACCCGUGGGGAGGCAAUCGGAAGAAAUCUUCCAAAGCAACAGCCUUUGCCUCUCCUGAAUAGGGGCUCGCCAAAUAGAGGACCAUAAAGGGGUGUCCUUGACAAAUCUUCUCUUAUUGAGAGACCAGUACACUUGCUUCAUCGAUAAGUUCCCAUCCUUUGAGUCUUUCCAAGUUAGAACAUCAUUGGAAACAAGGGAGAGUUUCUGCAUAUUCAAAAUCCGCUGGGCACACCCAAGGGUAAACCAACGAUUGAUAAGGUCACUUCUCCAAUUUCCCAUCUCAUCCAACAGGGAGCAAACCAAUCGCUGAUCUUCGAGGAUGAUUGGAUUGAAGGUGGCUCCACGAUUGUCUCAACUCUCUUAGAAAAACCAAGGGGAAUGAAACACAUCGAUAGAACGCCCACUACCAAUCAGAUAGUUGCUUUCUUGCGGACUAAAGUCUCUGAAAAUGAUGAUACCUCUAGCAACAAAGGAGGAGGAAGUGGGACAGUUAGCUUUCCAAAUAUUAUUAGAGGAAAGGUAUUUUCCUGAGAAGACUUUACACCACAAAGAAUUAGCAUUUAAACCUAACUCCCAUCCCAAUUUAGACACGAGAGAUAUAUUAAAGUCACCAGUCCUAUGAAAGCCAAGCCCACCACAUGAUUUAGGCUUGCAAAUGGAAUCCCAGCUGACCAAAGCCAUGAACCGCUCAUGGUCCGAGCGCCCUAGCCACCAAAACUUACGAGUAGCUUUAUCAAUAGACUCACAAAUAGUUUUAGGAAGGAGGAAAGAUGACAUGCUAUAGACAGGAAUACAAUGAAUCAAACAUCAAAUCAAAGUAGCUCUCUCUGCAUGGGAUAGAAGUUUAAAGCUCCAACCCUUAAGAUGCUGGCUGACCUUGUCAAUCACAAAGCUGAAAUCUGAGACCUUACUUUUUGUGAGGAAUAAAGGGUUGCCAAGGAAUCUUUCCAACUCUACCAUAGCAUUGAAGCCCAAGACCUCCUGAAUACUAUAUUGCUGGGAAACCGAAGUCCACAAGAGAAAAACACAUUGGACUUCCUAUCGUUAAUCACCUGUUUAGACCAGGUACAGAAAUUAGUAAGGAUUUCCUUGUUUGUAAGUGUUUCUUCCACAGUAGCUUUGAAAAACACCAUGAUAUCGUCGGCGUACAUAAGGUGAGAUAUAGGGGAAAUUCCUAUUCACCUUAUACCCUGAAAUAAGACCAUUGGCCUCCGCAUUUAUCAACAUGUGGGACAACACUACACUCCCCAAGAUGAAUAAAUAGGGAGAUAGCGGGUCUCCUUAACGAAGGCCCUGUUGAGGAGAAUCGAAUAAUAAACCAAAGACAAACAAUGCGCCACUAGGCUCUUGAACUUGUCUCCAAAAUCGAAACACCGAAGCACAUUAUCAAGGAAGUCCCACUCCAUACGGUCAUAAGGUUUGGACAUAUCAACCUUAGUUCCCACCACUUUACUUUCUUGCUGGUCACGACUCAUAGAAUGGACGAUUUCCUGGGUGAGGAUGGUGUUCUAGCAAUCCAUCUUCCCAGCACAAGGCUGACUAGAAUGGGGAGAUAAGAGAAGGAAGAAUAAACCUUUACCUGUUUUCCAACAGUUUAGAAACCACCUUGUAGACCACGUUACACAAGCUGGUAGGUCUAAAAUCAUCAAAUUUAUGAGCAUGCUGUCGUUUGGGGAUGAGAACAAUGAAGGAAUGGUUAAACCCUUAGACGAAUUUACCAUGGAUAAAAAUUCUUGCAUGAACUGGACAACAUCUUCCCCCGCAACCUGCCAAUGAUCUUUGUAAAACUUUGUCGGCAUCCCAUUAGGGCUCGGGGCUUUCAACGAAGGAAUACACCAAACAACACUCCUAACUUCCUCACCUGAAGAGAUCUCAAUCAAAGAUGCAUUCAUCUCAACACUAACAACACUAGGAAUUAAGUUGACAAGAUUGGGGACGGGAGGCAGCUUCGAAGAUUUGAACACUUCUCAAAAGUUGCCAAGGAAAUAAUCUCCCACCUCUGUUCUGCUAUGAAUUCAAUUCUCCCCAUCAUCCAAAACCGCCUAGAUGUGGUUUUUAUUUCUCCUCACAAGGGUCGACAUGUGGAAGAACCUAGAGUUUUGAUCCCCCCUGUUUCAACCAUGUCUCCCUAGACUUCUGAGCCCAAAUCAUAGCUUGUCUUGUUUUAACCUCCUGGAUCUCAAGUUGGAUAGACGCCUAAAGUUCAACAUUAUGAGUGAGUGGGGGUCUAUUUUGGAAAUCUGUUAAGAAAUUGGUAAGGAUCUUCAACUUUUCAUUGCAAAAACCAAAAUACUCCUAGUUCCACUUCUUUAGAGCAUUCGACGUGGUACCAAGCUUGACCAUAAGUUUAAAACUAGAGACUCAUCUAACUUCGACCCUCCAAGCCUCCUCAAUAACAUGUCUGCACCUCGGGUCGUGACUCCAGACAUCAAGAUAUCUUAAUGGAUAAUGUACUCUCUCAUUUUCCUUAACCAAAUCCACAACCAGAGGGGCGUGGUCCGAGUUCAGGCGGGCCUCAACCCCGAAUUUAGGGAAAGCCUCAAGCCAUCGAGAAUCACAAAUAGCACGAUCCAACCACUAUUUGACUAAAUGAUUAAUAUUGUAAUGACCCGAAUUUGCUAAUCAGGCUUAGGGUCUUGAUUAGUGUGCCUGGAGGGCAAUAAGUGAUUUAAUAUGCUAAUAUGUGGAUUUAUGUGAAUAUGUGAUAAUGAUGCAUGUUUAAUUGAGUUAAAUGUGCAUGUGGGCCCCAUCUGGAUAUUAGGGCCAUAAGUGUGAUAAAUGUGAUAAAUGUUAUAUAUAUGUGAUAUGUCUGUGCAGCACGAUCCAAGACAGUCCUGGGGAGCGGUUAGCCAGGAAGUCACAACGGGGUUGAGAAUCUGACUCGGGGCGAGUCGAGGGGUAAUUUGGGUACUAGGUGUGUUAUGGGAUUAUCGGGACAUGAAAAUAAAUAUUUGGAGAUAUAUUUGAGGAUAGAAUGUCUAGGCGGGAGUAUUGGGGAAAAUUUACCAUUUUGCCCUCGGGGACGUUUUGGUACCCUGAGCCUUGAGGUGGCCAUAUAGACAUAAGUUGAAUAAGACAAAUCUUAGAACUAUUCAGAACACUUAGGGAACCGACUCAUUUUCUCUCUAAGCAAGUGGAUGUUUUUCUCUUUGGAGACUUAAGGAGAAAUUGGAAGAAUUGGCUAGAAACUAGAAGGAUUUCAGCUGAGAAAUCUUGGGAAGCUUGGAGCUUGACGAUUGAAGAUCAACUUCUGGGAUUGAAUUCAGCAAGGGGUAAGCUUUAAUUAUAAGAAUAUGCCUAGAUUUGCUGCUGGUUUGGAAGAGUUUGCAUGUUGGUUAAGUUUGAUCUGUUUUAAGUGUUUUGGUUGAGCUUUGGAGUAGGAUUCAAUGGGGUUUUGGUGCUGUUAUUGAGCUGAAAUGAUGGUGCUGGUUAUCUUGAAUUAUUAGUUAAGGUUAGGAUGAAUUGGCUUGAGGAAAGGUUUAGAGAAAUGGUGUGAAAAUCUAGGUUCGGUGGGGAGGGGCGCGCCGUGGCCCGUGUGCGCGUGCGGCCAUGGGAGGCCGAGAAGUUCAUGCGCGACGCAGCCCAUGUGUGUUGCAGGGGUGUGCUAGCCUCUGUUUUGAGGCUAGUCGUGGCUCUUGGGGGUGGGGUCGCAGCCCUUAGUGCCAGUUUGAGUUUUUAAGGGCAUUUAGGCUUGGGAACUCAAUGGGUAAGGCUCGGGAUGGAUUUUAUCACCCGAAUUGAUAGAAUUCAAGGUCCCAGAGGUUAGGGUUAUGGCUCGAAGUUAUUUAUUGGAUUAGAACUUGAUGGAUGGAUAUUGUUAAUGUGUUGUGACUAGGGUUUUGGCGAGGCUCAAAUUAGAGGACUUUGCUCGGGGCAUCGGUGCUAAAAAAGCUCGGGACUCAGGUAAGAAAACCCUUGUUCCCAUAGAGCUUGUGUGCAGGGCUGAGCCCAAUGUGUUUGAGUAGAAAUGCUAUGCUGGGCUGAGCCCAAUAUGUUAGAACUGCGGGGCGUAGCCCUUUAGCUGAGUAUGCUAGAAUUCUGUACUUGUUUGCUAUAUUGUGUAUGCUAUGAUGUGAGUGAUCGGCAAGAGCCGGGAAUGGUGUAGACCGGGAACGACAUUAGGCACAUUGAGUGCAAGGCCGAGAACAGCAAGGGGCCAGGAGCAGCAUUGAGCACGUGGAGUGCGAGUUGCCAGGGCGAGUCCCUAGAAGGUACCUGGGAUAUCCUCAUGGCGUGGUCCGCGAACCCAGGGCUUGGUAAACGCCUGGGACGGCUAGGUCAUAUGUGUGUUAGCCCAUUAGUGGCCUGUUUAUAUGCUUGAUAUAUGUGUUGCAUAUGUUAUCUGUUUGUGGGUUUUCUUGCUGGGCUUCGGCUCACAGAUGCUCUGUGGUGCAGGUAAGGGUAAAUAGAAAGUCAACCAACCAUGAGUACGGCAGGUGUAAGGCGGCGUGUACAUGUUUGGCCAGCCUAGCUGCCAUAGCCAGAGGAUUUUGGGAGAUGCUUGUAAAUGAACUUAGAUUUUGUCGUUUAUUCGACUUGGUUCAAUUUUUAUGUUGUAAAUGUUUCUAAACUGUAUUUUGGGAUCCCAGGUGUCAAACUUUUAUGGUUUCAAUGAAAUGGAAUUAUUUGUAAAGUUUUUCUUUUGUUUAUAGCUUAAUCACACUGUUUAUUCUAAAACCUCGAUUAGCGAGUUGAUCGCACAUCUUUAAACUCACUUAGUAAUGGCUCUAAGGUAGUUGGGCAUUACAACUUGGUAUCAGAGCGAGCCAAGGUUAUUGGUUCUGGAGAUUGACCGAACAUGUACACACGCUGUCAGAGAUAGGCUUAACUCAGGGUUGGUUGGUAAGAUUGGCUAACAUGUUUGAAUACGUGUUUGAAUGCCCUGAAUGCCUGCUUAUUUUAUAUAGAGCAUGAUGAAUGAGUUAACAUAUGCAUGCGCUAGGGCAUGGCCCAUUGUGUGUUAUAUGUUAUAUGAGAUGUUAUUUGUGGAUGACUGAUGUAUUUGGGAGGUGGUCUUUGGAUGUUGUUAUCAUGCCUAAUGAGCAGCGUCGUUGGUUGCAGACAUAUUUGUUGAGAUGCCUCGACAAUCAGCUAGACUCCGCGACAGUAGGGUCGAGGAUGACAACCAGGGUCAGGACCCUCCACCUGCCCCACAGAACUGGCAAGAGAUGUUUGCUGAGAUGGAAGCGAGACUGCAGCAAACAGAGGAAGAGUUGCGACAGAUGAGGCAAUAGGCCCCACCUCAGGUUACUGGGCUGCCAGUGCAGCAGGUUGCAGCGCCAGUACCAGUACAGUCUAUUGAGGAGAAUAGUGGGAACCUUUGUAUGAGAGGUUCAGGAAGCAGCAUCCUUCCACCUUUGAGGGUGGAUCAGACCCACUGCGGGUAGAGCUGUGGAUGAAUAUGAUUGCUUCAAUUCUAGAUUUUAUGAGAGUUCAGGGGAACGAGAGUUUAGCCUAUGCUAGCUACAUGUUCAAAGAGGAUGCCCACAUCUGGUGGGACGUGGUGGUUCAGAGAAGGGAUGUAUUGGUUAUGACCUGGGGGGAAUUCAGAAACUUGUUUAAUGAGAAGUACUACAGUGUGGAAGUACAAGCUACGAAGGUUGAUGAGUUUAUCAACCUGACUGAGAAUCGAUCAACAGUGACAGAGUAUGCUAUUAAGUUUGAUAGAUUGGCAAAGUUUGCGCCAGAUCUAGUGCCGAAUGAUGCAGCAAGGAGGGAUAGAUUCGUGCAGGGGUUGAAUGUCAUGAUCACCCGCGAUGUGAAUAUUACCUUGGAUCCAGGGACUACUACUUAUGGCCAAGCGGUAGACAAGGCCCUUAUUGCUGAAAGGGCCGAAGAUCAGAUUUGGAAGGAUAGUGCUGCUAGGCGCGAUGCUAGGAGGACAGUGCCUCCUUUUGUUGGGUUCAGUCGUGGUGGUGGUUCUAGUGAGCAGAAGAGGAAAGCCCCAGAUCCCUUUGUUCCUUCCAGUUCUGAUAGGAGGGUGCGGGGUGCUUCUACUGGCCGUCAGGGUGGCUGUGAUAACUGGAGGAGUUUUCCUAUGUGUCCGUGGUGCAGACAUCGACACCAGGGUGAGUGCAGGAUCAGGGCCUGCUUUGUUUGUGGGAGUGCUAGUCAUCUAAAGAGGGAUUGCCCUCAAGUUAAGAAGGAGGAGCAGAAGCAGAGUGACAGUCUUGCUCCUGCCAGGGUAUUCACUUUGACACAGACUGAGGCAGAGGCUAGCCCUUAGUUGUGACAGGUCAGAUCUCUAGUGCUGGUUCUUUGUAUACUGCAUUGUUUGAUUCAGGGGCUACCCAUUCAUUUGUAUCUGCUAGGGUGAUAGAUCAACUUUGUAGACCUAGUGGUGUGUAUGCUAGGGGAUUUCAGACUUUGUUGCCAACGGGAGAAUCAGUAGUCUCUAGGAGGUGGAUUAGAGCAUUACCAGUAGAGGUAGAUGGUAGGGAGCUAUCUGUUGAUUUGAUUGAGCUGGAGAUGGAUGAUUUUGACAUGAUUCUAGGAAUGGAUUGGUUAUCCAAGUAUGGGGCAACGAUUGACUGCAAGCACAGAAUGGUGACUUUUGAACCAGAAGGGGAGGUACCCUUUAUGUCUGUGGGCUCAGCUAAUGGACCGCGUGUACCAAUGAUUUUAGCCUUAAGGGCUAUGGACCUGAUGCAAGAAGGUUGCAUAGGAUUCCUAGCGAGCGUUGUGGAUACCUCUAAGGCCGUGUCGGUUGGACCGGGUGAGACUAGAUUGGUGCGUGAGUUUCUGGAUUUAUUUCCAGCAAAUCUGCCGAGGUUGCCGCCGCAGAGGGAGAUUGACUUUGUUAUAGAGUUGGUACCAGGCACUACACCAAAUACCCCCUAGCAUAACACAAGAAUAUAAUACACUUGAAAAAGUAUUAUUAUAUACAUAUAUGUGGUAAAAUAAAAAAAUGGCGCUAAUUUAUUUUGGUGCCCGCCUAUUCUUUUUUCCUAGCUAAUUCUUUCUUCCCAGCUAAUUCUUUUUUCCCUUCUUCGCACCCAUUCUUUUUUCCUAGCCCACCACCGUUCUCUUCUUCGCCUAGCCCACUGUUAUCUUCUUCGCACCCAUUCUUUUUUCCUUUCCCACCCAUUCUUCUGCGCCUCUCCCUGCUUGAAAUCUUCCUUUAAGCAUCUCUACCAUCCCGACUGCAUUCUGCCAUGGCUCGCUCACCAUAACUCCUGCCCCGUUUGUCGGUUCCGGUUACCAGCAGAGCAAGCCAAGCUGGACUCUUUUGGGUCCCCGGAAGGGGUUUUGAGGUUAGGGGACUUGAUGAUGGGGGAUGAGGAUUGGUUUGAGGACUGGUAGCGGCAGCGUUAAGAGCUCAUUCUCUCCCAACCAGAUUGCAGAGGUGGAGACAGAGACGGAGACAGAAAGAGACUCUUCGUCCAGUGUUUCUUUCGAUCAGGGCUCGAGGCCAUGGAGAUGAAAUGGAAGAAGAUGGAAGAAGAAGAAGAAGAAGAAUAUGAGGAACAACGAAAGAAGGCACGAAGAGUCUCGGAAACAACAGGAUUGAAAAUCGCUCCAUGUUUCUGCCUAUUCAUUUUCGGCAAGUAGAUGGUAUGAAUGAUUCAUGGCAGUUCCUUCUACCUAAUUCGGCAGCUUCUUUUCUUUGGGAAGAUCUUGGUAGAAGACGUUUGUUGGAACUCCUCAUCGAUGGAGAUGACCAGUCUAAAUCUCAAAAGUUUGAUAUUGAUGAAAUUUCUGCUCAUCAACCCAUGCAUGUUACAAGUGGGACUUCUAGAGCUCUAAGCAUUACGAUAAUAAAAGAAGAGAAAGUCAAUGUUGUUAAGAUCAGUGACUGGUUGCCAGAGAGUGAACCUAUUGGAAUAUUUAGUAAAAAAAGGCACAUCUCCUCUAUCACAGCUUUCUUUAAAGAACCCACCUCAACAGCAAUCAUUGUCCACCUCAGACUCAGAACUUCAUGUUAUUGUUGAAUUAGCUGAGCUUGGAGUAUCAAUCAUUGAUCACACACCUGAAGAAAUUUUGUACCUCUCUGUUCAGACUUUUAUUUUUUCAUAUUCAACUGGCUUGGGCUCUGGAAUUAGUAGGUUCAAAUUAAGAAUGCAUGGGAUACAAGUGGAUAAUCAGCUGCCAUUAACUCCAAUGCCAGUUCUUUUCAGACCACAGAAAGUUGGGGAUGAGACUGAUUAUAUCUUGAAAUUUUCUGUGACCAUGCAAUCAAACAGGUCACUGGAUCUUUGUGUCUAUCCAUAUAUUGGUUUUUAUGGUCCUGAAAAUGUUGCCUUCCUGAUAAACAUUCAUGAACCUAUUAUAUGGCGCCUUCAUGAAAUGAUCCAGCAAGUCAACUUCAAUCGCUUAUAUGAUAACCAAACCUCUGCCGUUGCUGUUGAUCCAAUUAUCCAAAUUGGAGUUCUUAACAUCUCAGAAGUUCGGUUCAAGGUGUCAAUGGCUAUGUCACCCAGUCAACGACCAAGGGGUGUACUUGGCUUUUGGGCAUCAUUGAUGACUGCACUGGGAAACAUUGAGAAUAUGCCAGUUAGAAUAAAUCAAAGGUUUCAUGAGAAUGUGUGCUUGAGGCAGAGUUCAAUGACAAAUAUUGCUAUUUCAAACAUACGGAAGGAUCUCCUUGGCCAACCUCUUCAAUUGCUUUCUGGUGUUGAUAUAUUGGGUAACGCAAGCAGUGCACUUGGACAUAUGAGUAAGGGUAUGGCUGCCUUAUCAAUGGAUAAGAAUUUCAUUCAAAGUCGGUAGAGACAGGAAAACAAGGGCAGAGAGGAUCUUGGUGAUGUUAUUAGAGAAGGAGGUGGUGCACUAGCAAAAGACCUAUUCAGGGGAGUCACUGGAAUAUUAACAAAGCCUCUUGAAGGUGCAAAAACUUCUGGUGUUGAGGGUUUUGUUCAAGGUGUUGGAAGCGGACUAAUUGGUGCAGCGGCACAACCAGUUAGUGGGGUUCUGGAUCUUUUGUCAAAAACCACAGAAGGAGCCAAUGCAAUGAGAAUGAAGAUAGCAUCAGCUAUAACUUUUGAUGAACAACCUCUUCGCAGGAGACUUCCUCGCGUAAUUAGUGGUGAUAAUUUACUCCAGCCUUAUGACGAGAACAAAGCUCGAGGACAGAAGUACGUGGAAAGUUUGCCUUAACUGAUCAGGUUCCUUUUUAGGCGAGGUUGAUCUUUUUAAAGUACGUGGAAAGUUUGCCUUAACUGAUGCUUAUGAAGAUCAUUUCUUAAUCCCAAAAUAAAAAAUUCUUGUGGUUACUCAUCGAAGAGUGAUAUUAUUACA